GCCCUGGUGGCUCAGUGGUUAAGAGUUUGGCUGCCAACCAAGAGGCGGUAGUUCAAAUCCACCAGGCG
rnacentral:tRNA from 1 species